rnacentral:rRNA from 1 species
AUUGAACGCUGGCGGCAGGCCUAACACAUGCAAGUCGAACGAGUGGCGGACGGGUGAGUAAUGUCUGGGAAACUGCCUGAUGGAGGGGGAUAACUACUGGAAACGGUAGCUAAUACCGCAUACCAUCAGAUGUGCCCAGAGGGGACUAGCUAGUUGGUGGGGUAACGGCUCACAAAGGCGACGAUCCCGAGCUGGUCUGAGAGGAUGACCAGCCACACGGGAACUGAGACACGGUCCAGACUCCUACGGGAGGAAGCAGUGGGGAAUAUUGCACAAUGGGCGAAGGCCUGAUGCAGCCAUGCCGCGUGUAUGAGGAAGGCCUUCGGGUUGUAAAGUACUUUCAGCGGGGAGGCGUUACCCGCAGAAGAAGCACCGGCUAACUCCGUGCCAGCAGCCGCGGUAAUUC